AUGAACGCUGGCGGCGUGCCUAAUACAUGCAAGUCGAGCGAACGGACGAGAAGCUUGCUUCUCUGAUGUUAGCGGCGGACGGGUGAGUAACACGUGGAUAACCUACCUAUAGGACUGGGAUAACUUCGGGAAACCGGAGCUAAUACCGGAUAAUAUUUUGAACCGCAUGGUUCAAAAGUGAAAGACGGUCUUGCUGUCACUUAUAGAUGGAUCCGCGCUGCAUUAGCUAGUUGGUAAGGUAACGGCUUACCAAGGCAACGAUGCAUAGCCGACCUGAGAGGGUGAUCGGCCACACUGGAACUGAGACACGGUCCAGACUCCUACGGGAGGCAGCAGUAGGGAAUCUUCCGCAAUGGGCGAAAGCCUGACGGAGCAACGCCGCGUGAGUGAUGAAGGUCUUCGGAUCGUAAAACCCUGUUAUUAGGGAAGAACAUAUGUGUAAGUAACUGUGCACAUCUUGACGGUACCUAAUCAGAAAGCCACGGCUAACUACGUG
rnacentral:rRNA from 1 species